CCGAAGACUGAAAACUCGGGGUAGGGGGAUUUCGAUAAGCAGAGGCUGGCCCCAAGUAGGCGAGCACUCAGCGAAUAGGCGGUCCCUGCCUGGCCCUCGUAGACGGCAUACCUGGAGGUUGCAGCUCCCUCCCGUCCAGGCGAGGUCUCCGCAGGCAGCGUGUCGCUACUACAAUCAGAGCAACUCCGUACAGCAGCCGAACGCCGCACCCGGAACCAGAGACGUGCGGCCCAGGAACAACACUGAACGCCUCAGCUAUUGAAAGAGCCAGCCAAUCCCCAGCCUACGACGCGGUGACGUCCCUGGCAGCUAAGUAAUUUCUCCUGCAGUCACUUCUCUGGAGUGGACCGCGCGCCCCCUAGAGCCUGGAGUUGUCCUUUCCCCCGCGUCCCGGGCGCGAGCCAAGCUCAGGCCCUACCUUUCCGGUGCGGGCGAAGGCCUCAGCCACCUUGCGGUUCCGCCCUCCGUAGCAGGUAGUGAUGAGGUCAGCAACACCGCAGCUCUCCAAGAAGGUGGCAGAGGACACGGGGCCACUGCAGAAGAGCUUGGCGAAGGCUAUCAUCUCCAUGAGUCCCAGCCGGAUCACAGCUGCCUUGGUGUUGUCACCAAAGCCCAGUCCAUCACAAAAGCCAGCCCCCACGGCCACGACAUUCUUUGGGGAGAGGAGGUCAUAGCUGAGAAGAGGACCACCCCCUUCCAGGCCCCACUUGAAGCUCUCAGCACCUGCCUCCUCCUUCUUACAUCAGCCAUGGCAUACCCAUUGCAUAAGUAAAAUAUAGUAUAUGUAAUA